GGUCUCUCUUGUCAACUGUUUAUCUUCAAUGGAUGACCUAGCGUUUCAGAAAGGCUAACAGGUCUUCCAUCACUAAAGUCAGGAUCAUUCCUGUAUCUCCAUCCAGUGUGAAAUAUCAAUCUGUGAACCACGAUGCUGGAAGUGAAAAAGGCUCCCAUUUGCAAAGAAAGUCAAGACAUAUAGUAUUUCCUCCAUGCUGUCUAUGCAGCUAAUGGAAUAUAGCUAUUGGUCCAGAGCAAGGCAUAUCAUUCAUUGUCUCAUCCUACCCCACUGGAUCAAUACUAAUUGCAUGCGAAAUGUAUAUUCAUCUCCUGGAUUUUGACAGCUGUCCAUGAUGAGAGAUACACAAGGUCAUAUGAAUAUGAAGAAUUUUAAAAUUCUGAGGGCUUUCCAAACAGCAUAGUUGAUGCCUACGCAUGGGACUUCUAAGGGAGAACACUACUGCCAGCCGUAUUAUGGGGUCGUUCCAAAAAGAAGUGCUAAAAAAGUACUUCAAAAGGUUUUCGAAGAGUUCAACUGUUGGGCACUUUGCUCUCAAGACAAGAUUCUUUGUGCUACAGGACAUCUCACUCUGAACUGAUAGUUAUAAAUCUGCUCAAAGUUUGCCAAGCGUAGCGUAAAUUAAACCACCUGCACCUGCAUGCAAACGUGCUCUGCUUCUGUAAACUAAAUGCUGUGAAAUCCCUUGCUUGCACUUGCUUUAGAAAAGUCUAUUAUGAACUUUUUAAAACUUUUCCAGAAACCUGAUUAUUGUGAAAGUGAUUGUAGGUGCUAUUACACUGUAAAUUUAAGUUGUUGUAUAAUGAAGAAGCUGAAUGGGAGAAAGUGCAUUAAAUAG
ensembl:lncRNA